CGGCGUGUGGCUCAGCUUGGUAGAGCGCUACGUUCGGGACGUAGAGGUCGCAGGUUCGAAUCCUGUCACGCCGA
rnacentral:tRNA from 3 species